CAGCAACAAGAAUACCCUAGCAACAUGCUACAAACCCACAGAACACCUAAUUUAUUUUAUUUUUAUUGUCUUUUUUAUUUUAUUUUAAAGCAACCAUAUAGCAUAUUUUUGCAUUUAUUUUUGAUGAUGUUUCGGAGAUUCAGACGAUGCCUGGAACCGAACAACAAAAACUUCUUCCAUCUGAGAGAGGAUGAACACAAACGCCGACUCGACAAAGUCAAUGAUGCACAACAAUCAAACAGCUUGCAAAAUGAGAGAAAGCAUCUCACCUCCAAGGUGCCCAUGUCUGAG